rnacentral:rRNA from 1 species
UACGUAGGGGGCAAGCGUUGUCCGGAAUUAUUGGGCGUAAAGAGCGUGUAGGCGGCCAGAUAAGUCCGCUGUGAAAUCUCGAGGCUCAACUUCGAGCUGUCGGUGGAAACUAUCUGGCUAGAGUCCGGAAGAGGAGAAUGGAAUUCCUGGUGUAGCGGUGAAGUGCGCAGAUAUCAGGAAGAACACCCGUGGCGAAGGCGGUUCUCUGGGACGGUACUGACGCUGAGACGCGAAAGCGUGGGGAGCGAACAGG